UCGAACGGCAGCACGGGGGCAACCCUGGUGGCGAGUGGCGAACGGGUGAGUAAUACAUCGGAACGUGCCCAGUCGUGGGGGAUAACGCAGCGAAAGCUGUGCUAAUACCGCAUACGAUCUACGGAUGAAAGCGGGGGAUCGCAAGACCUCGCGCGAUUGGAGCGGCCGAUGGCAGAUUAGGUAGUUGGUGGGGUAAAGGCUCACCAAGCCUUCGAUCUGUAGCUGGUCUGAGAGGACGACCAGCCACACUGGGACUGAGACACGGCCCAGACUCCUACGGGAGGCAGCAGUGGGGAAUUUUGGACAAUGGGCGCAAGCCUGAUCCAGCCAUUCCGCGUGCAGGAUGAAGGCCUUCGGGUUGUAAACUGCUUUUGUACGGAACGAAAAGGCUCUCUCUAAUACAGGGGGCUCAUGACGGUACCGUAAGAAUAAGCACCGGCUAACUACGUGCCAGCAGCCGCGGUAAUACGUAGGGUGCGAGCGUUAAUCGGAAUUACUGGGCGUAAAGCGUGCGCAGGCGGUGAUGUAAGACAGUUGUGAAAUCCCCGGGCUCAACCUGGGAACUGCAUCUGUGACUGCAUCGCUGGAGUGCGGCAGAGGGGGAUGGAAUUCCGCGUGUAGCAGUGAAAUGCGUAGAUAUGCGGAGGAACACCGAUGGCGAAGGCAAUCCCCUGGGCCUGCACUGACGCUCAUGCACGAAAGCGUG
rnacentral:rRNA from 1 species